UUCUUAUCCAUGCUCCAGAAUUCAACACAAAUGCAAAUAGCCUCUCUUUCCAUGCCACGUAACUACCCGAUAAUUCUUAGACGCUGGAAGAGGGCUCAAGUCACCCUGGACAAACUUCUGUAGUGCCAGGCCAUCGGGCAGAAGUUUUGGAUGGAGCAGGGCUCAAGCUGGAGCUCCUGGUGGCAUCAGAUUUGGUGAUUCCCAAGGGUGAACAAUGGAGAUCGAAC